rnacentral:tRNA from 1 species
AGAGAGGUGCUCGAGUGGUUGAAGAGGCUACCCUGGAAAGGUAGUAUACGGUAACCGUAUCGAGGGUUCGAAUCCCUUCCUCUCUGCUA